rnacentral:tRNA from 1 species
GGUCCCAUAGUGUAGUUUGGUUAGCACACAAGACUUUGAAUCUUGGAACCUGAGUUCGAAUCUCAGUGGGACCU